rnacentral:rRNA from 1 species
ACCGGCAGCUCAAGUGGUGGCCAUUUUUAUUGGGCCUAAAGCGUUCGUAGCCGGUUUGAUAAGUCUCUGGUGAAAUCCCGCAGCUUAACUGUGGGACUUGCUGGAGAUACUAUUAGACUUGAGGUCGGGAGAGGUUAGGGGUACUCCCAGGGUAGGGGUGAAUCCCAAUAACCCUGGGAGGCCACCCUGUGCCGAGGGCGCCUACCGGAAACGACCCGGAGGUGAGUAACGAAAGCCAGGGGCGCGAACCG